rnacentral:rRNA from 1 species
UACGUAGGGGGCAAGCGUUGUCCGGAUUUACUGGGCGUAAAGAGCGCGUAGGCGGAGAUCUAAGCGUGGCCUGAAAGCCCCCGGCUCAACCGGGGAGUGCGGCUGCGAACUGGGUUUCUUGAGGACGAUAGAGGAGAGUGGAAUUCCUGGUGUAGCGGUGAAAUGCGUAGAUAUCAGGAGGAACACCCGAGGCGAAGGCGGCUCUCUGGGUCGUACCUGACGCUGAGGCGCGAAAGCGUGGGGAGCGAACAGG